AGAGUUUGAUCAUGGCUCAGAUUGAACGCUGGCGGCAGGCCUAACACAUGCAAGUCGAGCGGAUGAGGGGAGCUUGCUCCCUGAUUCAGCGGCGGACGGGUGAGUAAUGCCUAGGAAUCUGCCUGGUAGUGGGGGACAACGUUUCGAAAGGAACGCUAAUACCGCAUACGUCCUACGGGAGAAAGCAGGGGACCUUCGGGCCUUGCGCUAUCAGAUGAGCCUAGGUCGGAUUAGCUAGUUGGUGGGGUAAAGGCUCACCAAGGCGACGAUCCGUAACUGGUCUGAGAGGAUGAUCAGUCACACUGGAACUGAGACACGGUCCAGACUCCUACGGGAGGCAGCAGUGGGGAAUAUUGGACAAUGGGCGAAAGCCUGAUCUAGCCAUGCCGCGUGUGUGAAGAAGGUCUUCGGAUUGCAAAGCACUUUAAGUUGGGAGGAAGGGCAUUAACCUAAUACGUUAGUGUUUUGACGUUACCGACAGAAUAAGCACCGGCUAACUUCGUGCCAGCAGCCGCGGUAAUACGAAGGGUGCAAGCGUUAAUCGGAAUUACUGGGCGUAAAGCGCGCGUAGGUGGUUCAGCAAGUUGGAUGUGAAAGCCCCGGGCUCAACCUGGGAACUGCAUCCAAAACUACUGAGCUAGAGUAUGGUAGAGGGUGGUGGAAUUUCCUGUGUAGCGGUGAA
rnacentral:rRNA from 1 species